rnacentral:rRNA from 1 species
UACGUAGGGGGCAAGCGUUGUCCGGAAUCAUUGGGCGUAAAGAGCGUGUAGGCGGCCCGGUAAGUCCGCUGUGAAAGUCGGGGGCUCAACCCUCGAAUGCCGGUGGAUACUGUCGGGCUAGAGUGCGGAAGAGGCGAGUGGAAUUCCUGGUGUAGCGGUGAAAUGCGCAGAUAUCGGGAGGAACACCUAUGGCGAAGGCAGCUCGCUGGGACGUUACUGACGCUGAGACGCGAAAGCGUGGGGAGCAAACAGG